UAGGGAAUCUUCCACAAUGGACGAAAGUCUGAUGGAGCAAUGCCGCGUGAGUGAAGAAGGUUUUCGGAUCGUAAAACUCUGUUGUGAGGGAAGAACAAGUACGGGAGUAACUGUCCGUACCUUGACGGUACCUCAUUAGAAAGCCACGGCUAACUACGUGCCAGCAGCCGCGGUAAUACGUAGGUGGCAAGCGUUGUCCGGAAUUAUUGGGCGUAAAGCGCGCGCAGGCGGCCUUUUAAGUCUGAUGUGAAAGCCCACGGCUCAACCGUGGAAGGUCAUUGGAAACUGAAAGGCUUGAGUACAGAAGAGGAAAGCGGAAUUCCACGUGUAGCGGUGAAAUGCGUAGAGAUGUGGAGGAAUACCAGUGGCGAAGGCGGCUUUCUGGUCUGUAACUGACGCUGAGGCGCGAAAGCGUGGGGAGCAAACAGGAUUAGAUACCC
rnacentral:rRNA from 1 species